GGGCCCGCACAAGCGGUGGAGCAUGUGGUUUAAUUCGAUGAUACGCGAGGAACCUUACCAGGGCUUAAAUGUAAGUUGCAUAAGUUAGAGAUAGCUUUUUCUUCGGACUACUUACAAGGUGCUGCAUGGUUGUCGUCAGCUCGUGCCGUGAGGUGUCAGGUUAAGUCCUAUAACGAGCGCAACCCCUGUUGUUAGUUGCCAUCGAGUAAUGUCGGGAACUCUAACAAGACUGCCGGUGCAAACCGUGAGGAAGGUGGGGAUGACGUCAAAUCAUCACGGCCCUUACGUCCUGGGCUACACACGUGCUACAAUGGCCGGUACAGAGAGCAGCCACUACGCGAGUAGGAGCGAAUCUAUUAAAACCGGUCUCAGUUCGGAUUGGAGUCUGCAACUCGACUCUAUGAAGCUGGAAUC
rnacentral:rRNA from 1 species